GGCGACGAUCGGUAGCCGGCCUGAGAGGGUGAUCGGCCACACUGGAACUGAGACACGGUCCAGACUCCUACGGGAGGCAGCAGUGGGGAAUUUUGCGCAAUGGGCUAACGCCUGACGCAGCAACGCCGCGUGGAGGAUGAAGGUCUUUGGAUUGUGAACUCCUGUCAGCAGGGAAAAAGCAACUCAGCCUCAUACGCUGAGAAGUUGAUUGUACCUGCAGAGGAAGCCCCGGCUAACUCUGUGCCAGCAGCCGCGGUAAUACAGAGGGGGCAAGCGUUAUUCGGAAUUAUUGGGCGUAAAGGGCGCGUAGGCGGCCUGACAAGUGGAUGGUGAAAUCCCUCGGCUUAACCGAGGAACUGCCAUCCAGACUGUUUGGCUUGAGACCGGGAGAGGUGAGUGGAAUUCCCAGUGUAGCGGUGAAAUGCGUAGAUAUUGGGAGGAACACCAGUGGCGAAGGCGGCUCACUGGACCGGUACUGACGCUGUGGCGCGAAAGCCAGGGGAGCGAACGGGAUUAGAUACCCCGGUAGUCCUGGCCUUAAACGAUGAAUGCUUGGUGUCUGGGGUUAUAUAGUCCCCGGGUGCCGUCGCUAACGCUUUAAGCAUUCCGCCUGGGGAGUACGGUCGCAAGACUGAAACUCAAAGGAAUUGACGGAAUCGAAUU
rnacentral:rRNA from 1 species